rnacentral:rRNA from 1 species
UUCCGGUUGAUCCUGCCGGACCUUACUGCUAUCGGGUGGAGACUAAGCCAUGCGAGUUGUUCGAGCCAUGCGCAGCGUACGGCUCCUUAACACGUAGUCAAUCUGCCCUUAGGACGGGAAUAACCCUGGGAAACUGGGGCUAAUCCCCGAUAGGCGCAGUGGCCUGGAAUGGUGCGCUCCAGGAAUGCUCGUCGCCUAAGGAUGAGACUGCGGCCGAUCAGGUUGUUGGUGGGGUAACGGCCCACCAAGCCUAUAACCGGUACGGGCCCUGAGAGGGGGGGCCCGGAGAUGGGAACUGAGACAAGGUCCCAGGUCCUACGGGGCGCAGCAGGCGCGAAAACUCCACAAUGCGCGAACGCGUGAUGGGGUUAACCCGAGUGCUGUCCGAUGAGGAUGGCUUUUCUCCAGUUUAGGGAGCUGGAGGAAUAAAGGGGGGGCAAGACUGGUGUCAGCCGCCGCGGUAAUACCAGCCCCCUGAGUGGUAAGGACGAUUAUUUGGCCUAAAGCGUCCGUAGCCGGCUUGGCAAGUCUUCCGUUAAAUCCGACGAUUCAAUCGUCGAGCCGCGGAAGACACUGUUAGGCUUGAGGACGGGAGAGGUCGACGGUAGUCCCAGGGUAGGGGUGAAAUCCUAUAAUCCUGGGAGGACCACCAGUGGCGAAGGCGGUCGACUAGAACGUGCCUGACGGUGAUGGACGAAAGCUGGGGGAGCGAACCGGAUUAGGCACCCGGGUAGUCCCAGCUGUAAACGAUGCGAGCUAGGUGUUGGAGCAACUACGGGUUGCUCCAGUGCCGCAGAAAAGUUGUUAAGCUCGCCGCCUGGGAAGUACGGCCGCAAGGCUGAAACUUAAAGGAAUUGGCGGGGGAGCACCACAAGGGGUGAAGCCUGCGGUUCAAUUGGAUUCAACGCCGGA